rnacentral:ncRNA from 1 species
AGUAAUGGCGAAUGAAGCGGGAACAGCUCAAAUUUAAAAUCUCCGUUGCUUGCAACGGCGAAUUGUAGUUUCGAGAAGCACUUUCUCGGCGGAUCCGAGGUCGUCCAAGUUGCUUGGAACAGCACGUCGUAGAGGGUGACAACCCCGUCUGCGGCGAUCUCGGCCGUUCACGAUGUGCUUUCGACGAGUCGGGUUGUUUGGGAAUGCAGCCCAAAAUGGGUGGUAAACUCCAUCUAAAGCUAAAUAUUGGCACGAGACCGAUAGCGAACAAGUACCGUGAGGGAAAGAUGAAAAGCACUUUGAAAAGAGAGUUAAAAAGUACGUGAAACCGUUAAAAGGGAAACGAAUGGGGUUAGCAAUGCGUCGUGCGAGAUUCAGCCGGUGGGUGGGCCAGGCGGGCGGUUGGCGGAUCUGAAUGGACCGCUGCCGUCCGGGUUGGUUUCCCGACCGUCGCACUUCUCGCAGGCGCGCGCCAACGUCGGUUAGGGCUGGGUCUCANAAGGCGGUGGAAAGGUAGGUUUGGACUUCUCGGGCCCGNAACUGUUACAGUCCUCCGUUCGUCAUGGCCCGGACCUGACCGAGGAGCUUGCGGUGCAUGCCGUUCGGCUAGGAUCCCGUCUUCCCGGUCGGUCGUCGAAUGCGGUGGACUGCGUGCAGUGCGCCGCGACUGCUGCCGGUCGCGAGGGCGGUGAUUUCGUACUAUGCACCCACGACGUUGGCGGUCAUAUGGCCUCAUCCGACCCGUCUUGAAA